ensembl:lncRNA
CAGACACUCUGGGGUGGGCCCAGGGAUCAGUGUUUUCACAGGCCCUCCUGGGAUUCUGGUGGGCAUUCACGCUGGAGAACCACGGGUGAAGAGCAAGGGCAGUGAGCCAGACUGUCUGUGUUGGAACCAGCUCAACUCUGUCCCGUGGGAUCUUGAGCAAGUAACUCAACUUCCCCGUGUCUCAGUUUCCUCAUCUGCAAAGUGAAGGUAGUGGUUAUACCUGUCGCAUAGAACUGCUGUGAGGAUUGAAGGAGUUAAUCAUAGGAAGUGCUUAAAAUGGGACCCAGCCCACACCCCCCCGUACAUAGUUGUGUAUUCUUCGUUGUGGGUUCUUCUAGUUGUGGCAUGUGGGACACUGCCUCAGCGUGGUCUGAUGAGCAGUGCCAUGUCCGCGCCCAGGAUUCGAACUAACGAAACACUGGGCCGCCUGCAGCGGAGCGCGAGAACUUCACCACUCGGCCACGGGGCCAGCCCCCAAUAAAAACAUUUUUUUAAAGAAUUGACAGAGAAAGUAAUACAUACAUUUUGGGGGGAAUAUGAAGAAAAAAACAUUUUUAAAAAGAAUCUCAUGAUUCCGUGCUGCAGGCAAUACUCUAUUCUUUCACCUGGUUACAUACAUGCUGGUUUUGUAAUCAACUCCAUCAAGCUGUUUAUUUAUGCAAUUUUAUGUCUUUGUGUUAUAUUUCACAAUAAAAAGCUGGGGCAAAGUAUGGGAAUGAUAAAUACUUAAAAAUAAUCACCCAUGGGCCUACAAAUCUAUCCAGAGACAAUCACUGUCAAUGAUUUUGUGUAUUUUCUUUCUUUUGUCCUCUGCAUUUGGCCAUAUAUUUGUUAUUCAUGCAUUCAUUCAACCAGUAUUUGCAGAGCAUUAUUUUAAGUGCUGGGAUGUAUUAGUUAUCUAUCUUUGAGUAAGACAUCACCCCCAAACAUAACAGCUAAAAUUAACAAACAUGUAUUAUCUCACAAUUUCCGAGUCAGAAAUCUGGGUAGGGCAAGCUUGGGUGGCUCUGAUUUAAGGUCUCUCAUGAGGUUGUGUUCACAAUGGGCCAUAGUUUCAUCUGAAGACAAUUAGAAAAGUAUCCACUUCUCAGCUACUCACAUGCGCCUCUAUUCCUCACAGUUGUUGGACUGAGGACCUCAGUUCCUUGCUAGCUCUUGGCUGGAGGCCUUCUUCGCUUCCUUGCUUCUUGGAUGUCUCCACUGGGUUGCCUCACAGCGUGGCUGAUGGCUUCCCCCAGAGCAAGUGAGGACACGUGUAUCCAGUUGGUGAGCACAGUGAAUGGAAUGUUCACUCAAUGCCAGGCAUCAUUGCAGAGAGCAGAGGCAUCAUCACCUUCGUCGUCAGCUUCACCAUCAUCAUGGUCUCUGAGGUAUUUUGAGUUCUUAAACAUACACACAACACCACAAAGAAAAAUCCAGGGUAGAGAUGCUCGCAUAUUUCUUCCAGAUCUCCUGACGACAGAUGAAGAGAAAGCGCUGCUGCAAAUCAGGAAUGGGAGAGGCCAAAUUCAAGAGCUCUUGAGAAAGCUCUGAGCUCAGGAGAGUCCUAAGGAAUUAAAGCAGGGAAAUUACAAAAAGGAGAGAGGCUUAAUUUGGCGUCAGGGAAGAAGAGAAGCCCCGGGGGGCAGGGGUUUGAUUGGCUGCAGAUCUGAUAAGAGAACUGGGGAGGCGUUAAUAGUGGUUGUAAAGAACCAAGGCAGGUGAUGAGAAGCACUUUUUUCAGACUAAGGGGGCAUCUCAAUCUAUCGAAUUUUAUCUCUUGCCCUUUCUUUGCCUCUCUGGGAAGUUUAAGGUGGUCAGAGGGUGCUGCCAGCUGAUUUCAUCUUUUUAUGCAGUGUCUUGAUUCAAAUGUUUUCAAGGUGAUUUUAGUCAGCUCUGGGCAGGUGAGGUAAAGUAAGGUGAAGUGAGGCCAGGUGAGGCAUGUAUACUCAUGCCCUGCUGGAGGAAGUAUAAAUUAGUAUGACCUCUUUGGAAAGCAGC